rnacentral:tRNA from 1 species
GCCUGGGUGGCGGAACUGGUAGACGCAAGGGACUUAAAAUCCCUCGGUCCUUGUGACUGUACGAGUUCGAUUCUCGUCCCGGGCACCA